AGAGUUUGAUCCUGGCUCAGAGCGAACGCUGGCGGCAGGCUUAACACAUGCAAGUCGAGCGGGCGUAGCAAUACGUCAGCGGCAGUCGGGUGAGUAACGCGUGGGAACAUACCUUUUGGUUCGGAACAACACAGGGAAACUUGUGCUAAUACCGGAUAAGCCCUUACGGGGAAAGAUUUAUCGCCGAAAGAUUGGCCCGCGUCUGAUUAGCUAGUUGGUGAGGUAACGGCUCACCAAGGCGACGAUCAGUAGCUGGUCUGAGAGGAUGAUCAGCCACAUUGGGACUGAGACACGGCCCAAACUCCUACGGGAGGCAGCAGUGGGGAAUAUUGGACAAUGGGCGCAAGCCUGAUCCAGCCAUGCCGCGUGAGUGAUGAAGGCCCUAGGGUUGUAAAGCUC
rnacentral:rRNA from 1 species